CCUAGAUAGCUUGGGGAUGGAGACUGCUUUCUGAAAGAUCAAGGCACCCCCCCCGGGAAAUCAGCAAGCAGCGCACGUAGCUGAGAACAGCCGGGCAACCCCUCCCGACCCCAGAUUACUGCUAAUGACAAGAGCUGGCAGCCCGGCUCCCUGGACACCAGGGAGGAGCUCGACCCCCUGAGCUUUGUUGAGCUACGCUUGGUGUGUGACACCGUGUGACACUGUAUAAGUUUGCAGUAUGAUACAGCAUAGUGACUUGACACACACAAUGCAGAAGCAAAAUGAUUACCACGGAGGCCGAUGGGGGUGAUGUUACAUCUUUGUGUCUGUCUCCCCAUGUAACAUGUACCCUUUCAGUGGUCAGCCACAUCAUUUCCAGGGACAAGCACAAAACAGAAGUGUAGGGCUUCUUGUUCAAAAAAGAAGAAAGCUGCUUUUUCUUUCUC